UACGUAGGGGGCAAGCGUUGUCCGGAUUUAUUGGGCGUAAAGAGCGUGUAGGCGGCCAUACAGGUCAGCUGUGAAAACUCGAGGCUCAACCUCGAGACGUCGGUUGAAACCGUAUGGCUAGAGUCCGGAAGAGGAGAGUGGAAUUCCCGGUGUAGCGGUGAAAUGCGCAGAUAUCGGGAAGAACACCCGUGGCGAAGGCGGCUCUCUGGGACGGUACUGACGCUGAGACGCGAAAGCGUGGGGAGCGAACGAGG
rnacentral:rRNA from 1 species